UCACUCACUCAGCGCGGAUAUCUCACUCUGCGGAUAUCUGGAAAUUUGCUCUACAGUGUGGGACAAUUUGCAGCCUGGGAAGGAGUUUUAUUUUUGGUCAUCGGUCCAAGGUUCCAGUACCACCUCAAAAUCCCAGCCAAGUUUUUAAAGGGAUACU